UUUCACCAAAAACUCUGUAUGACCAUCUGACCCUCCACUGUUGACUCAAAGCAGGGAGAUGAAGAGGAGUGACUGAGAGA